AGACUAAUGCAAAAUCCCAGCAGAUGGACUAACUUGCAGCAGAGCCUAGUGCUCCCUGUGAAGACUGCUUCUGAGGGAAGGCUCUUAAGGGGAGAAUCAGGCAAGGCCCUGGCCACCAGCUUUUUCAGGUCUACCGUUUCUACUUCCUUAUCUAAAAUGAAAAUGUACCUGGGUAAUCUUCAGUCUUCUUGCUUGUGUUGCCAGUGAAUCGUAAGUGUGUGACUAGUGGUUUAACUUUGUCUUCACUAAACUAGAGCAGGUUUGGAUUUCAUUGUAGUAGAGCCCAUCUAAAUGUAUGUAUGCUUCUGGAUCAUGAGAGAUGACCUCUCCUCUCCUAUCACUCUCCUCUAGUGUUCUGUUGCUGUUGAAAUGAGGGCAGGAUCUCAGCUGGGACCCGGAUAUCAGCACCACGCGCAACCCAAGCGCAAGAAACCUUGAGCUGAUAGCCUGGCACCAGAAGACUGUUUUUACUCCUGUUGGUGAUUUAUUUAUCCAGCUGUGCACCGCAGUGUCUGAGUCAUCUUGCAGAAGAAUGUAUCUAGAUCACGUUUCCUUUUUUAUUGUGACUUUUCCAACUGUUCUGAAUAUUUUCUAAGGUUUUAAACAAAUGCUGCUAUUGAUUAGCUGCAAAAAAUGCACUUUAGACAUAUUUAACAAUUAAGACUUUCAAAAUAAAGAUUGCCCAAUGGUAAAACCAUUUUAGGAAGUUACUUAGAAUUUUGUAUGUAUGUAUUCACUUUUAACUGAAAUAAAAAAGCACUAAGAAUUGCAAA